GCUCAUUACUUCUAUUCUUCUCUCUAUACGUUGGUGUUCUAACCAAUAAUCACCGAUGCGAUAUUCUGUCCAAUCGAUUCGGGAACCAACUAACGAACGCCAAAGUGCUGUACUUUGUGAAUUUCGUUAAACGAAUGCCAAAGUGCUGUCUAAACAGGACUAUACUUUGUGAAUUUCGUUAAGGUUCUGAUCUCGUGACCAUCGUUAGGUUUGAUGUGGUUUUACACUAAUACAUAUUCCACUCUGUUAAACUAAAUGCUUAACUACCCGAAACUCUACACCAUACUCUUACAAUCAAAAUGGAUGCUUAAUCAUCAGAAGAUUCAGAACUAUAAAGUAGAUGCUUAGAAUCAAGAUGCUUGUUUAAACAAGACUAUAUGCUAACAAGGUAAAUGACAGUAGACUGGAAUAAGCGUGAUGAUACGACACCAAAAGGCUUAAAGAAGUGGCUUAUUUUAUCAAUUGAAUUAAAUUAAGAAAACAUGGUUUCAGAUAUUCGGGUUUAUCCCUUAUAAAAGCUACCUUUGUAAAACAUGGGUUUUAUUCCAUCUAUUUAAUAAAUAAAAUUCGGUGUUUUCUAAACUCUGAUAUUUUCCCUAACUCACGGUCCUGAUGAACAUUUCUGCUGCAAUAUUUUUAAAAUAACCACCGGUACCACUUGACGGCUCGCGGCUUCCAUCCAGGGUGUGGAUGGGGGUCGUGACAGCCAGGUUUUCGAUAAAUAUGGUUCAAGCGACGGUAAUGACACCAGGUUUUCAGACACAGCAACCGCGCGUAACCAUCGAUUGUCUUUGUUGAUUAUAUCAUCGGAGAAUCCUCAUUAUCUAGUUGUCUAUGUUGAUUUCAGUCAAUAUCUCAUCAAGUGUAAGUUAUAAAUCUACUAAAAGCUUCUUUCUUU
rnacentral:lncRNA from 1 species